rnacentral:ncRNA from 1 species
CCCACGGGCGCUGUGACAUUUCCGGGUGCGGGCGAUAUGACACUUUUAGAAGUGUCAGAACGCCCGCGGGCGCUAUGACACAAUUGUUUGGGCGUUAUGACAUGCACUCGAAUUGAGUAUAGGGGCGAAAGACCAAUCGAACCAUCUAGUAGCUGGUUCCUUCCGGAGUUUCCCUCAGGAUAGCUGGUGCAUUUUAAUAUUAUAUACAAUAAUCUUAUCUGGUAAAGCGAAUGAUUAGAGGCCUUAGGAUCGAAACGAUCUUAACCUAUUCUCAAACUUUAAAUGGGUAAGAACCUUAACUUUCUUGAUAUGAAGUUUAAGGUUAUGAUAUAAUGUGCCCAGUGGGCCACUUUUGGUAAGCAGAACUGGCGCUGUGGGAUGAACCAAACGUAAUGUUACGGUGCCCAAAUUAACAACUCAUGCAGAUACCAUGAAAGGCGUUGGUUGCUUAAAACAGCAGGACGGUGAUCAUGGAAGUCGAAAUCCGCUAAGGAGUGUGUAACAACUCACCUGCCGAAGCAACUAGCCCUUAAAAUGGAUGGCGCUUAAGUUGUAUACCUAUACAUUACCGCUAAAGUAGAUGAUUUAUAUUACUUGUAAUAUAAAUUUUGAAACUUUAGUGAGUAGGAAGGUACAAUGGUAUGCGUAGAAGUGUUUGGCGUAAGCCUGCAUGGAGCUGCCAUUGGUACAGAUCUUGGUGGUAGUAGCAAAUAAUCGAAUGAGACCUUGGAGGACUGAAGUGGAGAAGGGUUUCGUGUGAACAGUGGUUGAUCACGAGUUAGUCGGUCCUAAGUUCAAGGCGAAAGCCGAAAAUUUUCAAGUAAAAACUAAUGACUAAAUAAAUAUAUAUAUGAGCCAAAAAUAAUAUACUUGAAUAAUUUUGAACGAAAGGGAAUACGGUUCCAAUUCCGUAACCUGUUGAGUAUCCGUUUGUUAUUAAAUAUGGGCCUCGUGCUCAUCCUGGCAACAGGAACGACCAUAAAGAAGCCGUCGAGAGAUAUCGGAAGAGUUUUCUUUUCUGUUUUAUAGCCGUACUACCAUGGAAGUCUUUCGCAGAGAGAUAUGGUAGAUGGGCUAGAAGAGCAUGACAUAUACUGUUGUGUCGAUAUUUUCUCCUCGGACCUUGAAAAUUUAUGGUGGGGACACGCAAACUUCUCAACAGGCCGUACCAA